GGUAUCAGAAGUGCGAAUGCUGACAUAAGUAACGAUAAAGCGGGUGAAAAGCCCGCUCGCCGGAAGACCAAGGGUUCCUGUCCAACGUUAAUCGGGGCAGGGUGAGUCGACCCCUAAGGCGAGGCCGAAAGGCGUAGUCGAUGGGAAACAGGUUAAUAUUCCUGUACUUGGUGUUACUGCGAAGGGGGGACGGAGAAGGCUAUGUUAGCCGGGCGACGGUUGUCCCGGUUUAAGCAUGUAGGCUGGUUAUCCAGGCAAAUCCGGAUAAUCAAGGCUGAGGUGUGAUGACGAGGCACUACGGUGCUGAAGUAACAAAUGCCCUGCUUCCAGGAAAAGCCUCUAAGCAUCAGGUAACAUCAAAUCGUACCCCAAACCGACACAGGUGGUCAGGUAGAGAAUACCAAGGCGCUUGAGAGAACUCGGGUGAAGGAACUAGGCAAAAUGGUGCCGUAACUUCGGGAGAAGGCACGCUGGUGUGUAGGUGAAGUCCCUGCGGAUGGAGCUGAGACCAGUCGAAGAUACCAGCUGGCUGCAACUGUUUAUUAAAAACACAGCACUGUGCAAACACGAAAGUGGACGUAUACGGUGUGACGCCUGCCCGGUGCCGGAAGGUUAAUUGAUGGGGUUAUCCGUAAGGAGAAGCUCUUGAUCGAAGCCCCGGUAAACGGCGGCCGUAACUAUAACGGUCCUAAGGUAGCGAAAUUCCUUGUCGGGUAAGUUCCGACCUGCACGAAUGGCGUAAUGAUGGCCAGGCUGUCUCCACCCGAGACUCAGUGAAAUUGAACUCGCUGUGAAGAUGCAGUGUACCCGCGGCAAGACGGAAAGACCCCGUGAACCUUUACUAUAGCUUGACACUGAACAUUGAGCCUUGAUGUGUAGGAUAGGUGGGAGGCUUUGAAGCGUGGACGCCAGUCUGCGUGGAGCCAACCUUGAAAUACCACCCUUUAAUGUUUGAUGUUCUAACGUUGGCCCCUGACCGGGGUUGCGGACAGUGUCUGGUGGGUAGUUUGACUGGGGCGGUCUCCUCCCAAAGCGUAACGGAGGAGCACGAAGGUUAGCUAAUCCUGGUCGGACAUCAGGAGGUUAGUGCAAUGGCAUAAGCUAGCUUGACUGCGAGCGUGACGGCGCGAGCAGGUGCGAAAGCAGGUCAUAGUGAUCCGGUGGUUCUGAAUGGAAGGGCCAUCGCUCAACGGAUAAAAGGUACUCCGGGGAUAACAGGCUGAUACCGCCCAAGAGUUCAUAUCGACGGCGGUGUUUGGCACCUCGAUGUCGGCUCAUCACAUCCUGGGGCUGAAGUAGGUCCCAAGGGUAUGGCUGUUCGCCAUUUAAAGUGGUACGCGAGCUGGGUUUAGAACGUCGUGAGACAGUUCGGUCCCUAUCUGCCGUGGGCGCUGGAGAAUUGAGGGGGGCUGCUCCUAGUACGAGAGGACCGGAGUGGACGCAUCACUGGUGUUCGGGUUGUCAUGCCAAUGGCACUGCCCGGUAGCUAAAUGCGGAAGAGAUAAGUGCUGAAAGCAUCUAAGCACGAAACUUGCCCCGAGAUGAGUUCUCCCUGAGACUUUAAGUCUCCUGAAGGAACGUUAAAGACGAUGACGUUGAUAGGCCGGGUGUGUAAGCGCAGCGAUGCGUUGAGCUAACCGGUACUAAUGAACCGUGAGGCUUAACCUUACAACGCCGAAG
rnacentral:rRNA from 1 species